GUGGGAAACUGUAGGCGGUCUCUGGGUGGACCAAACGGAAAAACUCCAGUUUGUCGAUGUGGAGGUUACAGAUAGACUUCAUUAUGGGCAGCUUGGACACCAUCUGAUGGGACAAAUUAAACACAAAGAUGUGCUGUUCAAAUGGAAAUAGGAAUAAUCUGACAGGUCUGAAAACUCCCAGAUCUCAGAAGCUCAGUGACAUUAGAUUCUUCACUACAUGGAAUGAUUGAAGAAAAAUAAUCACCAGGGGAUAGAAGGACGGCAGCACUAAACAGAGCCAUCUCCUCAUCGGACAGCUGCAGACGGCAGAGUCCUUUUCCAAGAUCAAACACGGCGCUGACCAGGUCAUCGCACCCUGCACAAACA